rnacentral:rRNA from 1 species
AACGAACGCUGGCGGCAUGCCUAACACAUGCCAGUCGAACGAGACCUUCGGGUCUAGUGGCGCACGGGUGCGUAACGCGUGGGAAUCUGCCCUUGGGUUCGGAAUAACUCGCCGAAAGGCGUGCUAAUACCGGAUGAUGACGUAAGUCCAAAGAUUUAUCGCCCAAGGAUGAGCCCGCGUUGGAUUAGCUAGUUGGUGAGGUAAAGGCUCACCAAGGCGACGAUCCAUAGCUGGUCUGAGAGGAUGAUCAGCCACACUGGGACUGAGACACGGCCCAGACUCCUACGGGAGGCAGCAGUGGGGAAUAUUGGACAAUGGGCGAAAGCCUGAUCCAGCAAUGCCGCGUGAGUGAUGAAGGCCUUAGGGUUGUAAAGCUCUUUUACCCGGGAUGAUAAUGACCGUACCGGGAGAAUAAGCUCCGGCUAACUCCGCG